UACAGAGGGUGCGAGCGUUGUUCGGAAUUAUUGGGCGUAAAGGGUGCGUAGGCGGCAUGAUAAGUUAUUGGCGGCAAAUCGAGGCUCAACCUCGUGGAAACUGAUAAUACUGUCUUGCUUGAGUGCAGAAGAGGUUAACGGAACUCCAUGUGGAGCGGUAAAAUGUGUAGAUAUAUGGAAGAACAUCAAUAACGGCGAAGGCAGUUAACUAUUCUGUUACUGACGUUGAGGCACGAAAGCGUGGGGAGCAAAAAGG
rnacentral:rRNA from 1 species